rnacentral:rRNA from 1 species
CUCAAGGGGCUCACUGACCUUAAAACAACAGAUCCCAUCUGAUCUUGGAAGCUAAUCAGGAUCAGCUCUGGUAGUGCUUGGAUGGCAGACCACCAAUGAAUUCCAGGUGCUGUUAGUU